rnacentral:rRNA from 1 species
CGCCAGACUCCUACGGGAGGCAGCAGUGGGGAAUAUUGCACAAUGGGGGAAACCCUGAUGCAGCAACGCCGCGUGAGUGAAGAAGUAUUUCGGUAUGUAAAGCUCUAUCAGCAGGGAAGAAGAUGACGGUACCUGAUUAAGAAGCCCCGGCUAACUACGUGCCAGCAGCCGCGGUAAUACGUAGGGGGCAAGCGUUAUCCGGAUUUACUGGGUGUAAAGGGAGCGUAGACGGCAGGGCAAGUCUGGAGUGAAAGCCCGGGGCCCAACCCCGGGACUGCUUUGGAAACUGCCAUGCUGGAGUGCUGGAGAGGUAAGCGGAAUUCCUAGUGUAGCGGUGAAAUGCGUAGAUAUUAGGAGGAACACCAGUGGCGAAGGCGGCUUACUGGACAGUAACUGACGUUGAGGCUCGAAAGCGUGGGGAGCAAACAGGAUUAGAUACCCGUGUAUA